rnacentral:rRNA from 10 species
UUAAGUGAAUAAGGGCGCACGGUGGAUGCCUUGGCACUAGGAGCCGAUGAAGGACGGGACUAACACCGAUAUGCUUUGGGGAGCUGUACGUAAGCUAUGAUCCAGAGAUUUCCGAAUGGGGGAACCCAGCAUCUUUAAUAGGAUGUUACGAUUGUGUGAAUACAUAGCACAUUCGAGGUAGACGCAGAGAACUGAAACAUCUAAGUACCUGCAGGAAGAGAAAGAAAAUUCGAUUCCCUGAGUAGCGGCGAGCGAAACGGGAAAAGCCCAAACCAGCAAGCUUGCUUGUUGGGGUUGUAGGACUCCAAUAUGGUAGUUCUUUCAGAUAGUCGAAUGACUUGGAAAAGUCAGUCAAAGAGGGUAAAAACCCCGUAGACGAAAUGUGGAAGACACCUAGGAGGAUCCUGAGUACGGCGGAACACGAGAAAUUCCGUCGGAAUCCGGGAGGACCAUCUCCCAAGGCUAAAUACUCCCUAGUGACCGAUAGUGAACCAGUACCGUGAGGGAAAGGUGAAAAGCACCCCGGAAGGGGAGUGAAAUAGAACCUGAAACCGUGUGCCUACAACAAGUCAAAGCCCGUUAAUGGGUGAUGGCGUGCCUUUUGUAGAAUGAACCGGCGAGUUACGAUUGCAUGCGAGGUUAAGUUGAAGAGACGGAGCCGCAGCGAAAGCGAGUCUGAAUAGGGCGUUUGAGUAUGUAGUCGUAGACCCGAAACCAUGUGAUCUACCCAUGUCCAGGUUGAAGGUGCGGUAAAACGCACUGGAGGACCGAACCCACGUACGUUGAAAAGUGCGGGGAUGAGGUGUGGGUAGCGGAGAAAUUCCAAACGAACUUGGAGAUAGCUGGUUCUCUCCGAAAUAGCUUUAGGGCUAGCCUCGGAAUUGAGAAUGAUGGAGGUAGAGCACUGUUUGGACUAGGGGCCCAUCUCGGGUUACCGAAUUCAGAUAAACUCCGAAUGCCAUUCAUUCAUAUCCGGGAGUCAGACUGUGAGUGAUAAGAUCCAUAGUCGAAAGGGAAACAGCCCAGACCACCAGCUAAGGUCCCAAAAUAUAUGUUAAGUGGAAAAGGAUGUGGGGUUGCACAGACAACUAGGAUGUUGGCUUAGAAGCAGCCAUCAUUUAAAGAGUGCGUAAUAGCUCACUAGUCGAGUGACCCUGCGCCGAAAAUGUACCGGGGCUAAACAUAUUACCGAAGCUGUGGAGUACACCUUUAGGUGUAUUGGUAGGAGAGCGUUCUAAGGGCGUUGAAGGCAGAUCGUGAGGACUGCUGGAGCGCUUAGAAGUGAGAAUGCCGGUAUGAGUAGCGAAAGACAGGUGAGAAUCCUGUCCACCGAAUGACUAAGGUUUCCUGGGGAAGGCUCGUCCGCCCAGGGUUAGUCGGGACCUAAGCCGAGGCCGACAGGCGUAGGCGAUGGAUAACAGGUUGAUAUUCCUGUACCCGUUGUUUUUGUUUGAGCAAUGGAGGGACGCAGGAGGCUAAGGAAUGCAGACGAUCGGAAAUGUCUGUCCAAGCAGUAAGUCUGAAGAGGAGUCAAAUGCUUCUUUUCUUAAGGACAAGCUGUGAUGGGGAGGGAAAUAAUAGUACCGAAGUUCCUGAUGUCACACUGCCGAGAAAAGCUUCUAGUGAGAAAACAGCGGCCCGUACCGCAAACCGACACAGGUAGUCGAGGAGAGAAUCCUAAGGUGAGCGAGAGAACUCUCGUUAAGGAACUCGGCAAAAUGACCCCGUAACUUCGGGAGAAGGGGUGCUGAUCAUACGAUCAGCCGCAGUGAAUAGGCCCAAGCGACUGUUUAUCAAAAACACAGGUCUCUGCAAAAUCGUAAGAUGAAGUAUAGGGGCUGACGCCUGCCCGGUGCUGGAAGGUUAAGAGGAGUGCUUAGCGCAAGCGAAGGUACGAAUUGAAGCCCCAGUAAACGGCGGCCGUAACUAUAACGGUCCUAAGGUAGCGAAAUUCCUUGUCGGGUAAGUUCCGACCCGCACGAAAGGCGUAACGAUUUGGGCACUGUCUCAACGAGAGACUCGGUGAAAUUUUAGUACCUGUGAAGAUGCAGGUUACCCGCGACAGGACGGAAAGACCCCAUGGAGCUUUACUGUAGUUUGAUAUUGAGUGUCUGUACCGCAUGUACAGGAUAGGUAGGAGCCGUAGAAAUCGGAACGCUAGUUUCGAUGGAGGCGCUGGUGGGAUACUACCCCUGCGUUAUGGCCACUCUAACCCGCACCACUAAUCGUGGUGGGAGACAGUGUCAGAUGGGCAGUUUGACUGGGGCGGUCGCCUCCUAAAAGGUAACGGAGGCGCCCAAAGGUUCCCUCAGAAUGGUUGGAAAUCAUUCGAAGAGUGUAAAGGCAGAAGGGAGCUUGACUGCGAGACCAACAAGUCGAGCAGGGACGAAAGUCGGGCUUAGUGAUCCGGUGGUUCCGCAUGGAAGGGCCAUCGCUCAACGGAUAAAAGCUACCCUGGGGAUAACAGGCUUAUCUCCCCCAAGAGUCCACAUCGACGGGGAGGUUUGGCACCUCGAUGUCGGCUCGUCGCAUCCUGGGGCUGUAGUCGGUCCCAAGGGUUGGGCUGUUCGCCCAUUAAAGCGGCACGCGAGCUGGGUUCAGAACGUCGUGAGACAGUUCGGUCCCUAUCCGUCGCGGGCGUUGGAAAUUUGAGAGGAGCUGUCCUUAGUACGAGAGGACCGGGAUGGACUUACCGCUGGUGUACCAGUUGUUCUGCCAAGGGCAUUGCUGGGUAGCUAUGUAGGGAAGGGAUAAACGCUGAAAGCAUCUAAGUGUGAAGCCCACCUCAAGAUGAGAUUUCCCAUUUCUUUAAGAAAGUAAGAUCCCUGAGAGAUGAUCAGGUAGAUAGGUCAGGAGUGGAAGUACAGUGAUGUAUGGAGCGGACUGAUACUAAUCGAUCGAGGACUUAACCAA